UUCUCAUCGACGCUUUGAUUCGAGGUAGGAGGUCGGAGCUCCCCCUCGCCUCGGUGGGCGAGAGACAUCCAGGAGUGGGAAGGCGAUGAGCUUCCCUUGCAAUGUAUCUCACGAACCCUAAAUCUCUUUCUUCCGACUUUUUCUUCCCUCUCCCGCGGUUUCCCUCGCACCGCCCCGUCCUCCGCUGCCGCGCCGCAGCGGACGCCUCAUCCGACUGGUUCCGCCCUCGCAGCGCCCCCCGGGAUGGAGGGCGCAUGGCGGCCCGUGACCCUGGGAGUCGGGUCAAUGCCAAGGAGGAAAGCAACGGCCAGAGCAACAGCGGCAAGAAUAAGAAGAGGUGGUGGUGGUGGUCUCGGGACCGGGAGAGCUACUUGGCCGACGAUUCCGACGCCCUGCCUCUUCCGAUGACCUAUCCAAACUCCUCUCCGGUGUCCCCGGAGGAGAUCGACCGACGGCUCCAGUGUGACCCCGACAUCGAGGAUUGCAAGGAAGUGGUGUACGAAUGGACGGGAAAGUGUAGAAGUUGUCAAGGGACGGGCUUCGUCAGCUACUACAACAAAAAGGGGCGCGAGACAAUCUGCAAGUGCGUUCCUUGUCUUGGAAUAGAUGCUGACGGGAUUUCUCCUCCUCCUCCCUCCUUUUAAUUCUUUUUGUCCAUAAAAAAGUUUCAUCAUGCUUUGACACCACAAAUGACGUCUUUUGGUCUUCAAAGAUCUUCAUCUUCAUCAAUUGGAUAUGUCCAGAAAAUAACAGUGCGCACGGACAUCAAUUUGAUGGAAGAUUUAGAUAAUGAAAAACCUCCUUAAUACCUUGCUUUCUGGUGUCCGCAGGCAUCAAUACUUAUGUUUCCUUCAACGAGUUAUUUACUAAAGUUUGCACGCAAAUUUCUUACAUACUGGCUACAGAAGGCACUAUUCUUUUUUGAGAUAUAAUAUGUUUCUAGAUGACAUUCCCAGCAAUUGGCUAUAGAAUUAUUGAGUUCCUUUUCAUAGUAAAGAGGCUGUUGAGAUUGGACAAUAUUUUCAUGUAUGCUAAGCUUGCAAGACAAGCAGUUCAUUUACAUAGUAAUUCUGCACCCCAAAAAAUUAAGUCA